rnacentral:rRNA from 1 species
GACGAACGCUGGCGGCGUGCUUAACACAUGCAAGUCGAGCGGUAAGGCCUUUCGGGGUACACGAGCGGCGAACGGGUGAGUAACACGUGGGCGAUCUGCCCUGCACUUCGGGAUAAGCCUGGGAAACUGGGUCUAAUACUGGAUAUGACCUCCUAUCGCAUGGUGGGUGGUGGAAAGAUUUAUCGGUGCAGGAUGGGCCCGCGGCCUAUCAGCUUGUUGGUGGGGUAAUGGCCUACCAAGGCGACGACGGGUAGCCGACCUGAGAGGGUGACCGGCCACACUGGGACUGAGACACGGCCCAGACUCCUACGGGAGGCAGCAGUGGGGAAUAUUGCACAAUGGGCGGAAGCCUGAUGCAGCAACGCCGCGUGAGGGAUGACGGCCUUCGGGUUGUAAACCUCUUUCAGCAGGGACGAAGCGCAAGUGACGGUACCUGCAGAAGAAGCACCGGCUAACUACGUG